GCAGGGAGAGCAUGGGUGUGUGAUGGAGAGAAACAAGAUGGCAGAGAAGAGAAAUGAUCACAAGGUGGUGGAGAGUAUUUUUUUAGAAAAAGAAGAAGUGGAAGCCAUGCCUAUUUCUUACAACUGAGGGCAUAACUUGAACAUUUUAGGAAAACCCCAGAAGGUGUGUAUGCUGUCCCUCACACAAGUGCCCUAGGUUUUGGGGACAGAGCAAUACACAUAGACAAGCUCGAGUUCUCAUGUGCUGAGAGGAGGGGACCAGGCACCAGGGAGGUGACGUGUAGGUUGAAGCCUAACACCACGGUUCACUAU